rnacentral:rRNA from 2 species
ACGAACGCUGGCGGCAUGCCUAAUACAUGCAAGUCGAACGAGAUCUUCGGAUCUAGUGGCGCACGGGUGCGUAACGCGUGGGAAUCUACCCUUGGGUUCGGAAUAACAGUGGGAAACUACUGCUAAUACCGGAUGAUGACGUAAGUCCAAAGAUUUAUCGCCCAGGGAUGAGCCCGCGUAGGAUUAGCUAGUUGGUGAGGUAAAGGCUCACCAAGGCUACGAUCCUUAGCUG